AUAGUACAGUCAAGAACAGGCAAAGGGAGACAUUUACGGCCCACUGGUCAGGGGUCAAGACCGAGGAGCUCCCCAGAAGGCCUUUUGCAAGCAGGUGAAGAGACACCAGAUUUCACAGACCACGAGAAGAGCUCCUCAAAACCUAGCGAUUCUCCGGGACAUCACUCUACACAUUUUCCUUCCGUCAUCGCAGCUAGACCCACGUGUUGACCCCAGCCCAGGCCUCAGGCUCAAAUGGCCAAUGACCAACUGGACCUGCGCCCUACCAGAGAAGCCACCCAAUGCCUUGCAUAUACACACGCCUUUCGUGAUUCUCUGUUUCAAAGUCUAAAACCUAACACAAAGGCUCUGCACCAGGGUGUCUGCUGGGAGCUCAAACUCAUCUUCUUCUGCUCCCGGCCCUCACGUUCCUUCGCCGGCCCAGGACCUGUCUGCGGCUCCCCAGCACAAGCCAGACCAGUUCUGCUCUCCACUCCUUGCUCAGGGGUUUUCUACUGCAUGAAACAUGGUACCUGCACCCCCUGACCCCACUCCAACAUGAUGUCCGCUCAACCUUCAAGACACACCAUCCUCAACCUUUCCCACCCAUGGCCCCACCACCACUCACACAACUUCGCUGGCCACCAAGCCCCACCUGGGGCACAUCAAGCCGGGUCCUAUAACAGUAUAUGUUAUUUCUCGAUUACUGUAGUUAUCGUUAUGAUGGUGUUACAUGAAUUAUCAUCUGUCUCUCUUCUGUCUCAACUACAAAAAAGAACACUGCUUAAAAGCUUCAGAGCACAUGACAGUAUCUGGCACGAAUUAGAUAAUCAAUCAAUAAAUAAAUUUUUAUAAGUGCAUAUCAAGUGAAAUAAACUCCACUCGCACCACUACCACCUUGGAAGACAGAGCAGAUGCUGGCUAGAAUCUUGGCUUUAAACAUCACAACAGCAAGAAAAGUUCUAGGAGGCCAACUAGGUUAACUAGGCUACAUAAUUCCCCUUAACACUCUUCCCCUCUUCUCGCAUAGGACCACCCUACAUCAACCAACAACUCCAACUACUCCCCUCCUUAAAAUAUCACAGUUUCGGAUGUGCUCAGCAGUCUUACUUAGCUGUACACCAAACUUCUUUGCACACAUCCCACUUGUAAAUGAACCACUGGUGACAAGAUAUGCUCAAAAGCUGUCUUUCACACCAACUAAGAUGACUGGCUUCAUUAGCCUGGCUUGAUGGUUCGUACUCAAUUUACUUACUGACUUAACACAAGACUAAAUUGAUAAAUAAAGCAUUGUGUUCAUUUAUUA